rnacentral:rRNA from 1 species
UACGGGGGGGGCAAGCGUUGUUCGGAAUUACUGGGCGUAAAGGGCUCGUAGGUGGCCAACUAAGUCAGACGUGAAAUCCCUCGGCUUAACCGGGGAACUGCGUCUGAUACUGGGUGGCUGGAGUUUGGGAGAGGGAUGCGGAAUUCCAGGUGUAGCGGUGAAAUGCGUAGAUAUCUGGAGGAACACCGGUGGCGAAGGCGGCAUCCUGGACCAAUACUGACGCUGAGGAGCGAAAGCCAGGGGAGCAAACGGG